AAAGAAACACUCGGGAGAAAGUCCAGCAUGCAAUUGGAAAUUCAAGGCUGCUCAUCAGUGGAGUAGCAAGUCUGAAAACAUUUGUCAACUCUGCUUGAUCUUUCCACAUACCUCAUCGGCUGGCCCCUUGGGCCCAGAUUUCAACUGAUACUUCUGGCAGAAAAUGCUUGUACCAGUCUACGCCUAACAAUAAAGAACCCAGUUCCCAACUUCGACAUUUGGCUGGUGCUCCGGUGACGCCUGUCCCAAAAGAGAAAAGCCAAAGAAGUAAAUCUGAGUUACCUGAACAGAAA
rnacentral:lncRNA from 1 species